GGGUUGUGAGGUUAAGCGACUAAGCGUACACGGUGGAUGCCCUGGCAGUCAGAGGCGAUGAAGGGCGUGCUAAUCUGCGAUAAGCGCCGGUAAGGUGAUAUGAACCGUUAUAACCGGCGAUACCCGAAUGGGGAAACCCAGUGUGAUUCGUCACACUAUCAUUAACUGAAUCCAUAGGUUAAUGAGGCGAACCGGGGGAACUGAAACAUCUAAGUACCCCGAGGAAAAGAAAUCAACCGAGAUUCCCCCAGUAGCGGCGAGCGAACGGGGAGGAGCCCAGAGCCUGAAUCAGCAUGUGUGUUAGUGGAAGCGUCUGGAAAGGCGCGCGAUACAGGGUGACAGCCCCGUACACAAAAGCGCAUGUGCUGUGAGCUCGAUGAGUAGGGCGGGACACGUGGUAUCCUGUCUGAAUAUGGGGGGACCAUCCUCCAAGGCUAAAUACUCCUGACUGACCGAUAGUGAACCAGUACCGUGAGGGAAAGGCGAAAAGAACCCCGGCGAGGGGAGUGAAAAAGAACCUGAAACCGUGUACGUACAAGCAGUGGGAGCACCCUUUGGGUGUGACUGCGUACCUUUUGUAUAAUGGGUCAGCGACUUAUAUUCUGUAGCAAGGUUAACCGAAUAGGGGAGCCGGAGGGAAACCGAGUCUUAACCGGGCGUUAAGUUGCAGGGUAUAGACCCGAAACCCGGUGAUCUAGCCAUGGGCAGGUUGAAGGUUGGGUAACACUAACUGGAGGACCGAACCGACUAAUGUUGAAAAAUUAGCGGAUGACCUGUGGCUGGGGGUGAAAGGCCAAUCAAACCGGGAGAUAGCUGGUUCUCCCCGAAAGCUAUUUAGGUAGCGCCUCGUGAAUUCAUCUCCGGGGGUAGAGCACUGUUUCGGCUAGGGGGCCAUCCCGGCUUACCAACCCGAUGCAAACUGCGAAUACCGGAGAAUGUUAUCACGGGAGACACACGGCGGGUGCUAACGUCCGUCGUGAAGAGGGAAACAACCCAGACCGCCAGCUAAGGUCCCAAAGUCAUGGUUAAGUGGGAAACGAUGUGGGAAGGCCCAGACAGCCAGGAUGUUGGCUUAGAAGCAGCCAUCAUUUAAAGAAAGCGUAAUAGCUCACUGGUCGAGUCGGCCUGCGCGGAAGAUGUAACGGGGCUAAACCAUGCACCGAAGCUGCGGCAGCGACACUGUGUGUUGUUGGGUAGGGGAGCGUUCUGUAAGCCUGCGAAGGUGGCCUGUGAGGGUUGCUGGAGGUAUCAGAAGUGCGAAUGCUGACAUAAGUAACGAUAAAGCGGGUGAAAAGCCCGCUCGCCGGAAGACCAAGGGUUCCUGUCCAACGUUAAUCGGGGCAGGGUGAGUCGACCCCUAAGGCGAGGCCGAAAGGCGUAGUCGAUGGGAAACGGGUUAAUAUUCCCGUACUUGGUGUUACUGCGAAGGGGGGACGGAGAAGGCUAUGUUGGCCGGGCGACGGUUGUCCCGGUUUAAGCGUGUAGGUGUGUGUUCCAGGUAAAUCCGGUUCACUUUAACACUGAGGCGUGACGACGAGGCACUACGGUGCUGAAGCAACAAAUGCCCUGCUUCCAGGAAAAGCCUCUAAGCAUCAGGUAACAUCAAAUCGUACCCCAAACCGACACAGGUGGUCAGGUAGAGAAUACCAAGGCGCUUGAGAGAACUCGGGUGAAGGAACUAGGCAAAAUGGUGCCGUAACUUCGGGAGAAGGCACGCUGACACGUAGGUGAAGUGAUUUACUCAUGGAGCUGAAGUCAGUCGAAGAUACCAGCUGGCUGCAACUGUUUAUUAAAAACACAGCACUGUGCAAACACGAAAGUGGACGUAUACGGUGUGACGCCUGCCCGGUGCCGGAAGGUUAAUUGAUGGGGUCAGCGCAAGCGAAGCUCCUGAUCGAAGCCCCGGUAAACGGCGGCCGUAACUAUAACGGUCCUAAGGUAGCGAAAUUCCUUGUCGGGUAAGUUCCGACCUGCACGAAUGGCGUAAUGAUGGCCAGGCUGUCUCCACCCGAGACUCAGUGAAAUUGAACUCGCUGUGAAGAUGCAGUGUACCCGCGGCAAGACGGAAAGACCCCGUGAACCUUUACUAUAGCUUGACACUGAACAUUGAGCCUUGAUGUGUAGGAUAGGUGGGAGGCUUUGAAGUGUGGACGCCAGUCUGCAUGGAGCCGACCUUGAAAUACCACCCUUUAAUGUUUGAUGUUCUAACGUGGACCCGUUACCCGGGUUGCGGACAGUGUCUGGUGGGUAGUUUGACUGGGGCGGUCUCCUCCUAAAGAGUAACGGAGGAGCACGAAGGUUGGCUAAUCCUGGUCGGACAUCAGGAGGUUAGUGCAAUGGCAUAAGCCAGCUUGACUGCGAGCGUGACGGCGCGAGCAGGUGCGAAAGCAGGUCAUAGUGAUCCGGUGGUUCUGAAUGGAAGGGCCAUCGCUCAACGGAUAAAAGGUACUCCGGGGAUAACAGGCUGAUACCGCCCAAGAGUUCAUAUCGACGGCGGUGUUUGGCACCUCGAUGUCGGCUCAUCACAUCCUGGGGCUGAAGUAGGUCCCAAGGGUAUGGCUGUUCGCCAUUUAAAGUGGUACGCGAGCUGGGUUUAGAACGUCGUGAGACAGUUCGGUCCCUAUCUGCCGUGGGCGCUGGAGAACUGAGGGGGGCUGCUCCUAGUACGAGAGGACCGGAGUGGACGCAUCACUGGUGUUCGGGUUGUCAUGCCAAUGGCACUGCCCGGUAGCUAAAUGCGGAAGAGAUAAGUGCUGAAAGCAUCUAAGCACGAAACUUGCCCCGAGAUGAGUUCUCCCUGAGACUUUAGAGUCUCCUGAAGGAACGUUGAAGACGACGACGUUGAUAGGCCGGGUGUGUAAGCGCAGCGAUGCGUUGAGCUAACCGGUACUAAUGAACCGUGAGGCUUAACCUUACAACGCCGAAG
rnacentral:rRNA from 1 species